UACGGAGGAGGCAAGCGUUUAUCCGGAAUUAUUGGGCGUAAAGCGUCCGCAGGUGGCACUUCAAGUCUGUCGUCAAAGACUGGGGCUUAACCCUGGAAAGGCGGUGGAAACUGAAGCGCUAGAGUGCGGUAGGGGUAGAGGGAAUUCCCGGUGUAGCGGUGAAAUGCGUAGAGAUCGGGAAGAACAUCGGUGGCGAAAGCGCUCUACUGGACCGCAACUGACACUCAGGGACGAAAGCUAGGGGAGCGAAUGGG
rnacentral:rRNA from 1 species